CUGACAGCCCUGGAGACUAAAGUCCUCUAUUUAUUUAUAGAGCAGAUACAGCAUGGGCAAUAGCAGUGAUAACUUCCCCAUAUUGCUCCACCAAUGUGCCUCAACCCUGACCUGGAGAGACCACCUUUAGGGAUAGGAAAGUAGUUCAGAAACAUACCCUUGGUCUCUCUGCUGUGAGU
rnacentral:sRNA from 14 species